GACGAACGCUGGCGGCGUGCUUAACACAUGCAAGUCGAACGGUGAAGCGCCUUCCUUUUUGGUGGGUGUGGAUGAGUGGCGAACGGGUGAGUAACACGUGAGUAACCUGCCCCCUUCUUCUGGAUAACCGCAUGAAAGUGUGGCUAAUACGGGAUAUUCUGGGUCUGUCGCAUGAUGGGUCUGGGAAAGAUAUUGUUUCGGUGGGGGAUGGGCUCGCGGCCUAUCAGCUUGUUGGUGGGGUGAUGGCCUACCAAGGCGGUGACGGGUAGCCGGCCUGAGAGGGUGGACGGUCACACUGGGACUGCGACACGGCCCAGACUCCUACGGGAGGCAGCAGUGGGGAAUAGUGCACAAUGGGCGCAAGCCUGAUGCAGCGACGCCGCGUGAGGGAUGGAGGCCUUCGGGUUGUGAACCUCUUUCGCCAGUGAAGCAGGCCUGCCUCGUUUGUGGGUGGGUUGACGGUAGCUGGAUAAGAAGCGCCGGCUAACUACGUG
rnacentral:rRNA from 1 species